rnacentral:rRNA from 1 species
GACGAACGCUGGCGGCGUGCCUAACACAUGCAAGUCGAACGGAACUGUUUUGAAAGAUUUCUUCGGAAUGAAUUUGAUUUAGUUUAGUGGCGGACGGGUGAGUAACGCGUGAGUAACCUGCCUUCAAGAGGGGGAUAACAUUCUGAAAAGAAUGCUAAUACCGCAUGAUAUAUCGGAACCACAUGGUUUUGAUAUCAAAGAUUUUAUCGCUUGAAGAUGGACUCGCGUCCGAUUAGUUAGUUGGUGAGGUAACGGCUCACCAAGACCGCGAUCGGUAGCCGGACUGAGAGGUUGAACGGCCACAUUGGGACUGAGACACGGCCCAGACUCCUACGGGAGGCAGCAGUGGGGGAUAUUGCGCAAUGGGGGCAACCCUGACGCAGCAACGCCGCGUGAAGGAUGAAGGUUUUCGGAUUGUAAACUUCUUUUAU